CGAUCUUUACUUUUUUCUUUUUUUUUUUUCAUUGUAUCGUCUUUAUUAAUUUAUAACAGCUAGAAACGUAAAAAUAUUAAUUUAUGACAUUUGAAACUAUUUUCUAAUAUUGCUCGUUUCGUUUAGCAUUUAUAUUCGUAAUAUGUUUCGCAUAGAUAUAAUUGAAAAGUUUAAUAAAUGUCGAUAGACAUCAGACUGGAACGCGGUUGUGAAUUUCGAGAAUGCGCUUGUGAAUGCGGCUGCGAAAUGAAAAUGUAGAAUGUUUGAUCGUGACAAUGCGCGCACAGGUAAAUGUGAAAAUAAUUGCGAAUUGUGUGAAGGCGAAUGCGAAAACAAUUGCAAAUUGUGUGAAUGUAAACGUGAAAAUAAUUACGAAUUCCCUUAACAAACAUUGUACAACUCUCUUGACCAAACUCUCAAAUUUGACCAAUGUAAUCACGACGGUGUUGUGCUAUGUUAUAGUGCUAAUCACAGUUCAGAAUAUUUUAUAUAGCAUACCGACUCCGUACUGCACAAAUAUCGUAUGUCGACUUUUAGCGUUUCCAAGAGAAACAGUUUCAAAAAUUCGAUGAUACUUUAUAAUUAAAUAACCACUUUUAUUUAUCCUUUAUCAACGAUAUUAUAAAAUUGACGAUGCAAAUUAUGCGUCCUUUUUAGGAAUACAAAAUGACAAAGCUUGUUCUCUCUUUGGUCCCAGAAAAUAUUUGCAUGAACGCUAAAUGCGCCGAUACGGAAAUAUUCUUUUUGACGAAUUUAUUACGAAAUAGCAUAGAGAUGCAUAGAGAUACGCCAUAAAGAGACAGUGGAGAAAUAUUUGUUGCAUGUAGGAAGUAAAAUUUCAUAGAAGGUAGACGUACGAUAUUUGUGCAGUAAGCCAUCGGCGUACGAUAAUACGAAGAUGAAAAUUUUGUACGACAAGCGUUCGAAUACUUCCACGAGUCGGUGUAUUUUCUAAAAGUCACAAACUUCGUUAUUCAACAAAUGAUAUCGAAUUCUCACAUCCACCCAUUUAUCCGUUAAGAUUCACCUCCCAGUGUUUACGCAACGCUCGCAGAUAGAAAACUGUGGUCACUCGCGAGGAAGAGGCCAUCCGCUUCCGGUGUAAAAGGCGCAACGAUCGGUGAACGCGAUUGGACGGCUUCCCGUUGCAUCAGCGACGCAGCAAGAAGCAUCGAUGUGCGUCGCUGUUUUCUUUUUUUUUCCCCUCCAUCUCACCCCAUCUUCUUUUUUUUUUUCUUUUUGUCCG
rnacentral:misc_RNA from 1 species